GCCAGACUCCUACGGGAGGCAGCAGUGGGGGAUAUUGGACAAUGGGGGGAACCCUGAUCCAGCGACGCCGCGUGAGUGAAGAAGUAUUUCGGUAUGUAAAGCUCUGUCAGCAGGGAAGAAAGAAAUGACGGUACCUGACCAAGAAGCCCCGGCUAACUACGUGCCAGCAGCCGCGGUAAUACGUAGGGGGCAAGCGUUAUCCGGAAUUACUGGGUGUAAAGGGAGCGUAGACGGUAAUGCAAGUCUGGAGUGAAAGGCGGGGGCCCACCCCCCGGACUGCUCUGGAAACUGUGUAACUGGAGUGCAGGAGAGGCAGGCGGAAUUCCUAGUGUAGCGGUGAAAUGCGUAGAUAUUAGGAGGAACACCAGUGGCGAAGGCGGCUUACUGGACGACAACUGACGCUGAGGCUCGAAAGCGUGGGGAGCAAACAGGAUUAGAUACCCGGGUAGA
rnacentral:rRNA from 1 species